rnacentral:rRNA from 1 species
GAUGAACGCUGGCGGCGUGCCUAAUACAUGCAAGUCGAGCGAACGGACGAGAAGCUUGCUUCUCUGAUGUUAGCGGCGGACGGGUGAGUAACACGUGGAUAACCUACCUAUCAGACUGGGAUAACUUCGGGAAACCGGAGCUAAUACCGUAUAAUAUUUUGAACCGCAUGGUUCAAAAGUGAAAGACGGUGUUGCUGUCACUUAUAGAUGGAUCCGCGCUGCAUUAGCUAGUUGGUAAGGUAAUGGCUUACCAAGGCAACGAUGCAUAGCCGACCUGAGAGGGUGAUCGGCCACACGGGAACUGAGACACGGUCCAGACUCCUACGGGAGGCAGCAGUAGGGAAUCUUCCGCAAUGGGCGAAAGCCUGACGGAGCAACGCCGCGUGAGUGAUGAAGGUCUUCGGAUCGUAAAACUCUGUUAUUAGGGAAGAACAUAUGUGUAAGUAACUGUGCACAUCUUGACGGUACCUAAUCAGAAAGCCACGGCUAACUACGUG